GACGUAGGGGGCGAGCGUUAUUCGGAAUUAUUGGGCGUAAAGCGCUCGUAGGCGGGACCGAAAGUCGGUGAGGAAAGACCUGGGCUCAACUCAGGGAACUGCAUCGAUACUUCGGUUCUUGAGGUAAUCAGAGGGUGAUGGAAUUCCCGGUGUAGCGGUGAAAUGCGUAGAUAUCUGGAGGAACACCGGUGGCGAAGGCGGCAUCCUGGACCGGCAUUGACGCUGAGGAGCGAAAGCCAGGGGAGCAAACGGG
rnacentral:rRNA from 1 species